rnacentral:rRNA from 1 species
UACAGAGGUCCCAAGCGUUGUUCGGAUUCACUGGGCGUAAAGGGUGCGCAGGUGGGUUUGCAAGUUCGAUGUGAAAGCCCCGGGCUCAACCUGGGAAUGGCAUUGGAAACUGGCGGGCUGGAGUGUGGCAGAGGGGGGUGGAAUUCCAGGUGUAGCGGUGAAAUGCGUAGAGAUCUGGAGGAACACCGAUGGCGAAGGCAGCCUUCUGGGCCAACACUGACGCUCAUGCACGAAAGCGUGGGGAGCAAACAGG